rnacentral:tRNA from 1 species
GGUAUUAGCUCAGUUGGCAGAGCGUUCGCUUUGCGUGCUUAGCAUGCACGAGGUCGGGGGUUCGAUUCCCCCAUUCUCC